rnacentral:rRNA from 1 species
UGGGGAAUAUUGCACAAUGGGCGCAAGCCUGAUGCAGCCAUGCCGCGUGUGUGAAGAAGGCCUUCGGGUUGUAAAGCACUUUCAGCGGGGAGGAAGGCGUUAAGGUUAAUAACCUUGGCGAUUGACGUUACCCGCAGAAGAAGCACCGGCUAACUCCGUGCCAGCAGCCGCGGUAAUACGGAGGGUGCAAGCGUUAAUCGGAAUUACUGGGCGUAAAGCGCACGCAGGCGGUCUGUCAAGUCGGAUGUGAAAUCCCCGGGCUCAACCUGGGAACUGCAUUCGAAACUGGCAGGCUAGAGUAGUGUAGAGGGGGGUAGAAUUCCAGGUGGAGCGGUGAAAUGCGUAGAGAUCUGGAGGAAUACCGGUGGCGAAGGCGGCCCCCUGGACAAAGACUGACGCUCAGGUGCGAAAGCGUGGGGAGCAAACAGG